UGCAGUAUACUUUCAUAGCAAUUGAAAUACUGGUAAACAAGUUAUUAUCCUGAAACUAGAAAAAUGCUUGUUUUGGCCCCUUUUGGGCCCCUAAUUCCUAAACGGUUCGGACCAUCAUCCCCAAAAUAAAUCCCAACCUUCCUUUUGUGGUAUUGAACCUUCUGAAAAAAUUUCAUUAAGAUCUAUUCACUUUAACUAAAGUUAUUAUCCGGAAACCAAAGUGUCUUCGGACGACGACGACGCAGACGACGCAGACGACGACGACAUCAUACCAUUAUACGAACCCAAAAUUUUUUUGGGGUCGUAUAAAAAGC
rnacentral:lncRNA from 1 species